AUGACAACCGAAAGGAGUUUUUCUCUCAAUCGUGUGCUUCGGUUUCUUUCUUUAAUCAGAAGGGCAAGAAAUUUCAAACAUGCAGUUAUUUUCUUA